UUUGCACAUAACUUAUUGUCUCUUGCUUUUUCUCUUGACUCAGCUCACAUUUACAAGCUACAGUUAGGGUUCUCAAUUCGAGUGCAACAGGGUGUUAAUGGUGAUUCUCGAUAUGGUAUCAUAGCGGACCGGCCACUAGUGUGGUCAUCUCAUCUGAUCGGAGUUUUUCGCCGGAAUUUGCAGGUGUGUUCAACUGAUGGCGCUCGACGAUGAAUUGCCAAAAAAGCUAAGUCACAACCAUCCGGUAUUUCUGAAUGCCAAUGACAAUUUAGGAGCAGUGUUAAUUUCUCCGCAAUUGAAAAGAUUGGAGAACUACUCUGUAUGGAGUCGAGCGAAGGCAUAUGCAGAAGAGAAAAUUACGGUCUCAACCUCCUCUUUGGGAGCGAUGCAACGCUAUAGUACUGUCAUGGAUAAUGAAUUGCGUCUCACCUGAAUUGCUCAAUGGAAUUGUGUACUCAUCAAGUGCCAGUGCAGUUUGGGGAGAAUUGAAAGGGUGUUACGACAAAAUCGAUUGCUCAAGAAUUUUUCAGAUUCAUAAACAAAUUGUGACAAUUAAUCAGGGAACAAGUUCAAUUUCUGACUAUUUUUCAAUAUUGAAGUUGUUGUGAGCAGAAUUUGACUCCUUAGCUCCAAUUCCGGGAUGUGACUGCGAAAUCUCGAGAAUUUGUUACUUUCAUGGAGCGUCUGAAACUCUUACAGUUUCUCAUGAGACUAAAUGAGUCUUAUGAGUAGGCUCGAAGCCAAAUCCUCAUGAUGAUUCCAGUUCCAACUAUAAAUAAGGUGUAUUCAAUGCUUACAGAACGAGAAAGUCAGAGGAGCAUGACAAAUUUAUUUACAUCAAUUGAAGGAGGUGAAGUAACAACCUUAAUGACUGCAAGAGCAGGAGCUAUGCAGAGACAAAAAAAAGAACUAUAGUAUUCAGUGUGGUUAUUGUAAAAUGAAAGGACAUACGCGAGAAAAGUGUUACAAACUGAUAGGUUAUCCUGUUGAUUUCAAAUACAAAAUGAAAGGGGGAAUUCAUGCUGCUCACAAUGUGUUUGUGGAAGAUUACAAGAGGCAGGGUCCGGGAGGAGGAACUCACACUACCAAAGAGUCUCAACACAACAGUUCAGAUGCAUCAAAAAGCUUUUUCUUCACUCAUGACCAGUACACUCAAAUCAUGAAGCUACUCAACAAAGAAAAAAUUGGAGAGAGUUUAGCUAAUAUGGCAGGACCUUUGCAUUUAGAAGGUGAAGGGAAUUAGUAGAGAAUGAGGAGGAAUCUACCUAAUGCUCCCUUACGCUUCUACUGAAGGUCUAAAGAAUACAUCUAAAGGUUUUUCUGUCAGAAAAGAAGAAAAGAGCAUUGGAUUGUGGCACAGAGAUUAGGGCAUACUUCAACUAGACAAUAAACCAAGUGUUUCACUUGUCUGUAGAUGCUUGUAGAUAAGUCUUGAAAAAUUGUAAUGUUCGUCCCUUAGCUAAACACAUCAGAUUACCUAUCAAAAGUAGUACUACUAGAGAAGAUGCAGUGUUUGACUUGAUACACAUUGAUGUAUGGGGGAUACAUAGUGUACAAACCUUUGAUAAAAAUAAAAUCUUUUUGACUAUUGUUGAUGAUCAUUCUCGAAUGACAUGGUUAUAUAUGUUAAAAUUAAAAAGUGA